rnacentral:rRNA from 1 species
CAGCUAGUUGGUGGGGUAACGGCUCACCAAGGCAACGAUCAGUAUCCGGCCUGAGAGGGCGGACGGACACACUGGGACUGAGACACGGCCCAGACUCCUACGGGAGGCAGCAGUAGGGAAUUGUUCGCAAUGGGCGCAAGCCUGACGACGCAACGCCGCGUGGAGGAUGAAGACCUUCGGGUCGUAAACUCCUUUCGAUCGAGACGAAUGGCUUCCGGCUGAAUAAUCCGGGAGAAUGACGGUACCGAGAGAAGAAGCCCCGGCUAACUCCGUGCCAGCAGCCGCGGUAAUACGGGGGGGGCAAGCGUUGUUCGGAAUUACUGGGCGUAAAGGGCUCGUAGGUGGCCAACUAAGUCAGACGUGAAAUCCCUCGGCUUAACCGGGGAACUGCGUCUGAUACUGGAUGGCUUGAGAUUGGGAGAGGGAUGCGGAAUUCCAGGUGUAGCGGUGAAAUGCGUAGAUAUCUGGAGGAACACCGGUGGCGAAGGCGGCAUCCUGGACCAACACUGACACUGAGGAGCGAAAGCCAGGGGAGCAAACGGGAUUAGAUACCCCGGUAGUCCUGGCCCUAAACGAUGAAUGCUUGGUGUGGCGGGUAUCGAUCCCUGCCGUGCCGA